rnacentral:rRNA from 1 species
GCAAGUCUGGUGCCAGCAGCCGCGGUAAUUCCAGCUCCAAUAGCGUAUAUUAAAGUUGUUGAGGUUAAAAAGCUCGUAGUUGAACCUUGGGCCUAGCCGGCCGGUCCGCCUCACCGCGUGCACUGGCUCGGCUGGGUCUUUCCUUCUGGAGAACCGCAUGCCCUUCACUGGGUGUGCCGGGGAACCAGGACUUUUACUCUGAACAAAUUAGAUCGCUUAAAGAAGGCCUAUGCUCGAAUACAUUAGCAUGGAAUAAUAGAAUAGGACGUGUGGUUCUAUUUUGUUGGUUUCUAGGACCGCCGUAAUGAUUAAUAGGGACAGUCGGGGGCAUCAGUAUUCAAUUGUCAGAGGUGAAAUUCUUGGAUUUAUUGAAGACUAACUACUGCGAAAGCAUUUGCCAA